GAGGGAACCAAUUCAAUUUUAAUAAAAACAGAAAGGAAUAGUAUACAAAGAUUCAGGAAAAAAAUUGGAGACAUAAACGGAUGAAAUCGAUUAUUCAAAAUUAAAAAUGUUGAAAAAUUCAAACCUUUCAAUCCAUUGAGUAGAAAAGGGGAUUAGAUACCCUCGUAUUCAAUAUAAAAAAGUUAGUAGUAGUAGGGUGACAUAAAUCUGAAACUAAAAAAAAAUGGCGGUGUUUCUAGACCGUUCGGAGGAACUUGUCUCGUAAUCGAUGAUCCGCGAAGAUAAUUACUGUGGAUUUUAAAGUUUGUAUACCGUUGUUGCCAGAAAAUUUUUAAUAAAAUUUUCGUUAAACUUUCUUGAUUCUAAACGAAAGAGAGCUAAAUCAAAUCAAGGUGCAGCUUAUGCCAUAGAGAAGAUGAGUUACAAUAACCCACAAAAGUUAAGACGAAUUUAAAUUUGUAAUAAUUUUAGAAAGGUGGAUUCGAAAGUAAUUUUUUAUUUAGAAUAAAAAAAUGAGUGAGGCUCUGAAACAUACACACAUCGCCCGUCGCUCUCAAGCAGUAUCUGAG
rnacentral:rRNA from 1 species